rnacentral:rRNA from 1 species
GAUGAACGCUGGCGGCGUGCCUAAUACAUGCAAGUCGAGCGAACGGACGAGAAGCUUGCUUCUCUGAUGUUAGCGGCGGACGGGUGAGUAACACGUGGAUAACCUACCUAUAAGACUGGGAUAACUUCGGGAAACCGGAGCUAAUACCGGAUGAUAUUUUGAACCGCAUGGUUCAAAAGUGAAAGACGGUCUUGCUGUCACUUAUAGAUGGAUCCGCGCUGCAUUAGCUAGUUGGUAAGGUAAUGGCUUACCAAGGCAACGAUGCAUAGCCGACCUGAGAGGUGGAUCGGCCACAAGGAAAAUGAGAAGCGGGCAAGAACCGCGCGGGAGGACACGCAAGGAAAAUUUCGGGAAGGGGAGAAAAGAUAAGGGAGCAACGCGGCGGGAGGGAGGAGGGUAUACGGAUGAUAAAACUAUGUUAUUGGGGAAGACAAAAAGAGUAAGGAAAGGAGAAGAGUGAGACGGCGCGAAAAGAAAAAGCCGCGGCUAAUAAAUG